rnacentral:tRNA from 1 species
AGUUAAUUAACUUAAAUAAAGUUUAUGUCUUGAAAACAUAAUAUAGAAGAUUCUACUUCUAUUAACUU